rnacentral:rRNA from 1 species
CAGUAGCCGCGGGAAUACGGAGGAUCCAAGCAUUAUCCGGAAUCAUUGGGUUUAAAGGGUCCGUAGGCGGUCUUGUAAGUCAGUGGUGAAAGCCCAUCGCUCAACGGUGGAACGGCCAUUGAUACUGCAGGACUUGAAUUAUUGGGAAGUAACUAGAAUAUGUAGUGUAGCGGUGAAAUGCUUAGAGAUUACAUGGAAUACCAAUUGCGAAGGCAGGUUACUACCAAUUGAUUGACGCUGAUGGACGAAAGCGUGGGUAGCGAACAGGAUUAGAUACCCGAGUAGUCCCUGUCUCUUAUAC